AAUCCUUGGAACCUAGGUGUGAGUGCUGUUUUAGUGCAACACACCUAUUCAAGGAUUCAAAGAGGCU
ensembl:miRNA